rnacentral:rRNA from 1 species
UACGUAGGUGGCGAGCGUUGUCCGGAUUUACUGGGCGUAAAGGGCGCGUAGGCGGCCAUUCAAGUCGGAGGUGAAAGCCCAGGGCUCAACCCUGGAAUUGCCUUCGAUACUGUCUGGCUAGAGACCGGAAGAGGUAAGUGGAACUGCGAGUGUAGAGGUGAAAUUCGUAGAUAUUCGCAAGAACACCAGUGGCGAAGGCGGCUUACUGGUCCGGUUCUGACGCUGAGGCGCGAAAGCGUGGGGAGCAAACAGG